AUCCACGUGUGGGGAUGUUGAUAUUUGCCUAUUCUAAAUAUCUUUCCUCUCUUUGUGCCGCUUGCUCAUUCUUGCGGAGCCAUUGUUUCCUUUCAACACAAAGCUUUGAAUGAUUUCUCCAGUAACCUCAGACCAUUUACGCCCAGCAAAGAUGGAGCUUAGUCUUGAAAGUGUGUUCUAAAGUUAUUGUGUGAGAUCGUAUGAAAGGAUUGUUGGUGUUCUUACAUAGCAAACGCUCUCCAUGUUCUAAGGUUCGAGCUCCUCCAAGGAAAUAGCGAAAACGUGAACAAUUACAUAGAUAGGAGUAUCAUACAAUGUAUUUGAGUUCCCAAAAUAAUGAACAUUGUUGUCAUUUAGCUUUAGAUCUGUAAGAAAGAGAUCCAACUCCACUGAAGUCCUCAGAUACCUCAUUAUAUCUGUGGACUUUUAUGAGAAUGUGAAAAUAAUUAUUUUGUAACUUACUUAAAUAUGCAAGUUACCGAAGUACUUUUGUCAAGAUUCUUCAAAGAUUUGUUGAAUAAGACAAAGUACAAAUAUGAUAUGUAAAUGUAGUACUCCCCGAUUUCAGUGUUAUCUUCUAUAAUCUUAAGGAUUGAAAUUUUAA